UCAAUGUCAUUCUUAUUCAAAGCUUUUAAGCUAGGAAAUCUAUCUGACGGGUGGGAUAAGAGCUCAAGUUUAUUUCAGUUGAAGCAAAACAGGAAGAGCAGUAAGUAGCUAAUCCUGAUAAGGGAGGGCCAAAAAGGAGUAGCAAAGAAGUUGAUGUUCCCAAAUUGAAAGAAUUUGUGAAGUCUCUGGGAUUUGGAAUUUAUAAGCGCUGGUGGAAACAUGGUUUGGAUAUCCUGGUCUACUUAGAGAAGACGGGAACAUUAAUUUGACAGAAAUGCAUGGAAUGGAUCAGGACAGAAAAAGGCAGGAGAUAGCAUGCAUGUGUGACGCUGAAGAAGAUACAAAACAAACCACUAUCAGGAGAUACCACUCCACACUUAUUUGAAUGGCAACAUUUAAAAGGAAUAUAAACUGACAAUAUCAAGUGCUGGCAAACACUCAAGAGCAUCUGGAAUUCCCAUACAUGGCUGGUCUAGAAUGUCUCUUAAGUUCCAGUGCACAAGAACAAGACAGAAAAUAUCUGAGGAAAGUGGACUUCGAAGUCAAUCCAAUCUGGGUUCCAUGUAGGCUCUGCCCCUUCUCCUGGGACUCUAGCAGGAAACGAGAGAGAAAAUAGGAAGCAGAAGCUGCGCGCGGCACCCCCCGCCUUCGCCCCCCGUCCCCCGCCCGGGCGGCGCGCGCUCCUGGGUG